rnacentral:rRNA from 1 species
GUCGAACGCUGGCGGCGUGCCUAAUACAUGCAAGUCGAACGCAGUGGGGACGGGUGAGUGACACGUGGCUAACCUCCCAUCAGAGGGGAUAACACUUGGAAACAGCUGCUAAACCGCUACCGAUGUAUCAACCCGCGGGGCAUUAGCUAGUUGGUGGGGUAACUGCUCACCAAGGCCACGAUGCAUAGCCGACCUGGGAGGAUGAUCGGCCACACUGGGACUGAGAAACGGCCAAGACUCCGACGGGAGGAAGCAGUAGGGAAUCUUCGGCAAUGGGCGAAAGUCUGACGGAGAAACGCCGCGUGAGUGAAGAAGGUUUUCGGGUCGUAAAAUACUGUUGUUGGAGAAGCGGUAUCUAACCAGAAAGCCACGGCUAACUACGUGCCAGCAGCCGCGGUAAUAC